rnacentral:siRNA from 1 species
AUGUCGUCCUUACAUGUGCGGCA